UACGGGGGGGGCAAGCGUUGUUCGGAAUUACUGGGCGUAAAGGGCUCGUAGGCGGCCAACUAAGUCAGACGUGAAAUCCCUCGGCUUAACCGGGGAACUGCGUCUGAUACUGGAUGGCUUGAAUCCGGGAGAGGGAUGCGGAAUUCCAGGUGUAGCGGUGAAAUGCGCAGAUAUCAGGAGGAACACCGGUGGCGAAGGCGGAUCUCUGGGCCGAUACUGACGCUGAGGAGCGAAAGCGUGGGGAGCGAACAGG
rnacentral:rRNA from 1 species